GCCUUCAUGGUGUAGUGGUCAGCACGCUCGACGCGUAACCGAGAGGUCCGUGGUUCGAUUCCCGGCGAAGACA
rnacentral:tRNA from 1 species